rnacentral:rRNA from 1 species
UACAGAGGUCUCAAGCGUUGUUCGGAAUCACUGGGCGUAAAGGGUGCGUAGGCCGCACGGUAAGUCAGAUGUGAAAGCCCGGAGCUCAACUCCGGAACUGCAUCCGAUACUGCCGUGCUUGAGGACUGGAGAGGAGUCUGGAAUUCACAGUGGAGCAGUGAAAUGCGUAGAUAUCGUAAGGAAGACCAGUGGCGAAGGCGGAUCUCUGGACAGUUACUGACACUGAGGCACGAAGGCCAGCGGAGCAAACGGG